rnacentral:rRNA from 1 species
AUUGAACGCUGGCGGCAUGCCUUACACAUGCAAGUCGAACGGCAGCACGGGGGCAACCCUGGUGGCGAGUGGCGAACGGGUGAGUAACAUAUCGGAACAUACCCUAGAGUGGGGGAUAACGUAGCGAAAGUUACGCUAAUACCGCAUACGAUCUAAGGAUGAAAAGUGGGGGGAUCUUCGGACCUCAUGCUCAUGGAGUGGCCGAUAUCUGAUUAGCUAGUUGGUGAGGUAAAGGCUCACCAAAGGCGACGAUCAGUAGCUGGUUUGAGAGAACGACCAGCCACACUGGAACUGAGACACGGUCCAGACUCCUACGGAGGCAGCAGUGGGGAAUUUUGGACAAUGGGGGCAACCCUGAUCCAGCAAUGCCGCGUGAGCGAAGAAG